rnacentral:rRNA from 1 species
UACGUAGGCAGCGAGCGUUGUUCGGAAUUACUGGGCGUAAAGAGUGUGUAGGCGGUGUUCCCAGUCUGUUGUGAAAUCUCCCGGCUUAACUGGGAGGGUGCAGCGGAAACUAGAAUGCUAGAGGGUGGGAGAGGUAAGCGGAAUUCCUGGUGUAGAGGUGAAAUUCGUAGAUAUUAGGAAGAACACCAGUGGCGAAGGCGGCUCACUGGCCCGGUACUGACGCUGAGGCGCGAAAGCGUGGGGAGCAAACAGG